AUGCCUAACCCAAGGGAGGUGGAUCGUGCGCUGUUCGUAGAAUUCAUUAAGCUCAAAAAAUGUGGUGUGAGUGUUAAGUUCUCCCCCUGGUCUGAAGAUGUGGAUGCUGAGGGGCUACUUGAAGUAGCUUGGGUUAGGAUUGGGAAAAUUCCUCUAAACAAACGUAAUGAUAAAACUGUUGCUUACGUUGGUGGUCUGGUUGGAGUCACUCUGGAAGUUGACUUGGCUACGUUAAACCGUCCAACCUUAGUUAGAGCUAAAAUUGGUUGUAGAUUUGUAGAUCAGCUUCCUGCCUCAGCUAAGGGAAUGUUGGGGGACGUUUUUACAAAUUCACCUAUGAGGUGGAAGAGGUGCUGGUGA
rnacentral:rRNA from 1 species